GACGAACGCUGGCGGCGUGCCUAAUACAUGCAAGUCGAACGCAGUGGGGACGGGUGAUUAACACGUGGGUAACCUCCCAUCAGAGGGGAUAACCCUUGGAAACAGGUGCUAAACCGAUACUGAUGGAUGGACCCGCGGUGCAUUAGCUAGUUGGUGAGGUAACGGCUCACCAAGGCCACGAUGAAUAGCCGACCGGAGAGGGUGAUCGGCCACACUGGGACUGAGACACGGCCCAGACUCCUACGGGAGGCAGCAGUAGGGAAUCUUCGGCAAUGGACGAAAGUCUGACCGAGCAACGCCGCGUGAGUGAAGAAGGUUUUAGGAUUGUAAAACACUGUUGUUAGGGAAGCGGUACCUAACCAGAAAGCCACGGCUAACUACGUGCCAGCAGCCGCGGUAAUUC
rnacentral:rRNA from 1 species